rnacentral:rRNA from 1 species
GACGAACGCUGGCGGCGUGCUUAACACAUGCAAGUCGAACGGAAAGGCCCUGCUUUUGUGGGGUGCUCGAGUGGCGAACGGGUGAGUAACACGUGAGUAACCUGCCCUUGACUUUGGGAUAACUUCAGGAAACUGGGGCUAAUACCGGAUAGGAGCUCCUGCUGCAUGGUGGGGGUUGGAAAGUUUCGGCGGUUGGGGAUGGGCUCGCGGCUUAUCAGCUUGUUGGUGGGGUAGUGGCUUACCAAGGCUUUGACGGGUAGCCGGCCUGAGAGGGUGACCGGCCACAUUGGGACUGAGAUACGGCCCAGACUCCUACGGGAGGCAGCAGUGGGGAAUAUUGCACAAUGGGCGGAAGCCUGAUGCAGCAACGCCGCGUGCGGGAGGACGGCCUUCGGGUUGUAAACCGCUUUCGCCUGUGACGAAGCGUGAGUGACGGUAAUGGGUAAAGAAGCACCGGCUAACUACGUGC